UACGGGGGGGGCAAGCGUUGUUCGGAAUUACUGGGCGUAAAGGGCUCGUAGGCGGCCAACUAGGUCAGACGUGAAAUCCCUCGGCUUAACCGGGGAACUGCGUCUGAUACUGGAUGGCUUGAGUUUGGGAGAGGGAUGCGGAAUUCCAGGUGUAGCGGUGAAAUGCGUAGAUAUCUGGAGGAACACCGGUGGCGAAGGCGGCAUCCUGGACCAACACUGACGCUGAGUGAGCGAAAGCCAGGGGAGCAAACGGG
rnacentral:rRNA from 1 species